UCGUGGAAACGGAUGCUCCCUAUUUC
rnacentral:piRNA from 1 species